GGUUCUGUAGCUCAACUGGUAGAGCACAUCAGCAAUUAUGCUGAUGCUGUUGUUGGUUCGACUCCAGCCAGAACCA
rfam:Fructobacillus sp. EFB-N1 FEFB_c000026, whole genome shotgun sequence.